rnacentral:rRNA from 1 species
CUGGCUCAGAUUGAACGCUGGCGGCAGGCCUAACACAUGCAAGUCGAGCGGAUGACGGGAGCUUGCUCCUUGAUUCAGCGGCGGACGGGUGAGUAAUGCCUAGGAAUCUGCCUGGUAGUGGGGGACAACGUUUCGAAAGGAACGCUAAUACCGCAUACGUCCUACGGGAGAAAGCAGGGGACCUUCGGGCCUUGCGCUAUCAGAUGAGCCUAGGUCGGAUUAGCUAGUUGGUGGGGUAAUGGCUCACCAAGGCGACGAUCCGUAACUGGUCUGAGAGGAUGAUCAGUCACACUGGAACUGAGACACGGUCCAGACUCCUACGGGAGGCAGCAGUGGGGAAUAUUGGACAAUGGGCGAAAGCCUGAUCCAGCCAUGCCGCGUGUGUGAAGAAGGUCUUCGGAUUGUAAAGCACUUUAAGUUGGGAGGAAGGGCAGUAAGUUAAUACCUUGCUG